rnacentral:tRNA from 1 species
GAGGGCGUAGCUCAGUGGUAGAGUGCAUGUUUAGCAUGCAUGAGGUCCUGGGUUCAAUCCCCAGUACCUCCU